rnacentral:lncRNA from 1 species
GAGAAGUUAGCCAUUUACAAGUCAAGGAGAGAGACCUCAGAAGAAACCAUCUCUGCUCACACCUUGAUAUUAGAUUGCCAGCCCCCAGGAUUAAAACCUGUUGGAGAAGCUAUACGGCCAUGUGUGAAAUGUCUUAUGGAAAAGGACAGUGUUGGAAUGGCCACCAUGUAUGACCUGAAGAUAGAGAACCAUAAAGUGCUGAAAUUCUAUGUUAAAAGUGAUGAAUAGAAGUUAACGAAAAUUAGAAAAAUAUACUUCAAUCAUGUAUUGAAAAAGUGGAUCUAUCAUCAUUGUGAACAUAUGCUACUUAAUAAUAUGCUGAUUAUGACACAAAGACUUAUAAUGAACUAAAAAUUGAAGGAAACUGAUUAUUUAAUAACUGCAGAAAUUUAAGAAAAGAAACAAAAUUAAAUUUUUAAAGAUUUGCAUAAUAAAGCAUGUGCUGAUGAAGCAGUAAAGAAAUAUAUUGACAAAUUUGUCAAGGCCUAUGUUAAGAAAAAUCUGAUGCCAGAGCAUGUCUGUAAGGCUAAAGAAAAGUCAAUGUUUUGGUAUUAUUGUCCCAGAAAGACACUGACUACAGUUGAUAAGCCAUCCCCUACAGGAAUCAAGGAUAUCAAAGACAGAACAAUUGUGUUGGAAUGCUCUAAUGCAGUAAGCAUGCGUUAAACAUAAACUCGCUUGGAUAAACAAACCUUUCAUUCUUGUUGUUUUCAAGAUAUGAAUUUCUUACCAGUUCAUUAUUAUUCUAAUAAAAAGGCUUGGAUCACCAAGAAUAUGUUUUCUGAGUGGUUUCACAAAUAUGUUGAACCAAUGACUGGUGCUCACUGCAGGAAAGCUAAACUGAAUGACAACUGAAAGAUUUUGUUAUUCCUUGACAACUCUGCUGCUCAUCCUCCAGCUGAAAUCCUCAUCAAAAUUAAUGUUACUGUCAGGUACCUUCCCCAAAAUGUGACUUCAUUAAUUCAGUCAUGUGACCAGGUUACCCAUAGAUCAAUGAAGAGUAAAUAUAAAAAUGCUUUCCUGAACAGCAUGCUGGCAGCAGUGAAGAGUAGUGGGUGUGAAAGGUUUUCCAAAGCAGUAUAAGAUGAAGGAUACCAUAUAUACUGUUACCAACACUUGGAUCACAGUGAUUAAGGACACAGUAUGUAUGCACGAUACAAUGUUUAUCUUGCAACUAUGUUCAGUGAUAAUGAGGAACAAGAUGGUCACUCUGAAAGACUCUUUGUGUCAAGUGAUUAAAAUAAUGUCUGACCUCCUUACCUUUGCAAAAAAUAUACAUUUAGAGUUUGUCAGUAUGCUCCAAAAAGAGGAUAUUGAAAAAGUUUUUAACAUCAGUGAGGCUUCAGUUAUUCAUUCAUUGACCAAUGGUGAAAUAGUUAAAAGGGUUCUCAAUCAAGAUGAUACUAAUGGUGAUGAUGAUGACAUUAACGCUGCACAAAAUGAGCCUAUAGACAACAUGGAAAAAUAUUCAAUGUGCUUAUUAAAGGAGUAGAGCAACAUGAAUUCAUAACAGAAAUCAUGUAAGAAAUAAUUUAUAAAACCAAAGGGAGACUUCUAAGACAAAAAUCAUAAUUAAUGAAGGAGAUGAUCCUGGAGAAAAAACUUUGAAAAGCAAUCCAGCAUAUACCUCCUCAUCCUUAUGAGACUCACCUUCUGGUCUCUCAAAUACUUAUGGUGUGUCUUCUCAUCUAGAAAAAUACAGUGCACAGUACUCUUAAUCAAAACACAGCAUUAUAGGUGAAGACUGAAAGCCUGCCCUACAGUUGUUUGUUGUUGCUGUGGUUUAACAUCUGCUAUUUGUUCUACAGGUAUUCUGGUAAUGCUAUUGUGCUGCUUAAUUAUCCUGAAUACAUUAGUUUUUCACU